rnacentral:tRNA from 2 species
AGCCCAGUGACGCAGUGGUUAGCGUGUCGUUCUUAUAAUGCGAAAGUCCCGAGUUCGACUCUCGGUUGGGCUA